ensembl:snoRNA small nucleolar SNORD12/SNORD106
AGUGUGGUUAAUGAUGUCAAACUUUUUUCCCCGGCUUAUCGACAAUGAGGAGUCAAAACCAUUUCAAAGCCAAUUGUCUGAAACCACAUU